rnacentral:rRNA from 1 species
AUGUCUCAGUAUAAGUCAUUUUACCACGAAACUGCCAAUGGCUCAUUAAAACAGUUAUAGUUUCUUUGCUGGUCAAUCGUUAUACGGAUAACUGUGGUAAUUCUAGAGCUAAUACGUGCACAAAGACCCGACUUCACGGAAGGGUUGCAUUCAUUAGAUACAGAACCAUCCCCUUCGGGGUUUUGGAUGAUCCAUAAUGAAUGAGCGGAGCGCAUGGCUUGUGUCGGCGCUGUAGCAUUCAAGUUUCUGACCUAUCAGCUUUCGACGGUAGGGUAUUGGCCUACCGUGGCAUUGACGGGUAACGGAGAAUUAGGGUUCGAUUCCGGAGAGGGAGCCCGAGAAACGGCUACCACAUCUAAGGAAGGCAGCAGGCGCGCAAAUUACCCAAUCCUGAUUCAGGGAGGUAGUGACAAGAAAUAACAGUGCUGUUCUCUUUGAGAAUAUGCAUCUGGAAUGAUUUGCAUGUAAAUAUCGCUUGGACUAUCAAUUGGAGGGCAAGUCUGGUGCCAGCAGCCGCGGUAAUUCCAGCUCCAUUAGUGUAUAUUAAAGUUGUUGCGGUUAAAAAGCUCGUAGUUGGAUUUCUGUUGGGUAUCGCGUGGUCUGCUCCUCGAGUACGUAUCUGCGUCGAUCCUGGCAUCCUCGCAACGCUCUGUGGCAUUAAUUUGCUGCUUGGCUUGCGACUUUUACUUUGAGGAAAUUAGAGUGUUCACGGCAGGCAUUUGCUUUGAAUAUAUUAGCAUGGAAUAAUAACAUAGGACUUCGGUUUUAUUUUGUUGGUUUCUAAGGCUGAAGUAAUGAUUAAUAGGGACAAUUGGGGGCACUCGUACAAAUCCGUCAGAGGUGGAAUUCUUGGAUUGGAUUUUGACGAACUACUGCGAAAGCAUUUGCCCAGGAUGUUU